rnacentral:rRNA from 1 species
AUGCAGCGCCGGCUCCCGGCGCUCCUCCGCCGCGCGGCGGGCGCGGGGCCCGCGCGCCGGUGGCUCUCCGCCUCGUCCUCCCUCCUCUUCGACGACACCCAGGAGCAGUUCAAGGAGAGCGUGCACCGGUUCGCGCAGGAGCACAUCGCGCCGCACGCCGCCGCCAUCGACGCCUCCAACCACUUCCCCAAGGAGAAGAAUCUGUGGAAGCUCAUGGGGGACUUCAACCUGCACGGCCUCACCUCGCCAGAGGAGUACGGAGGGCUCGGGCUCGGUUACAUGUACCACUGCAUCGCCAUGGAGGAGAUCAGCAGGGCGUCCGGGUCGGUCGGCCUUUCCUACGGUGCACACUCAAAUCUCUGCAUCAACCAGCUGGUCCGUCAUGGCAGCCCUGCCCAAAAGGAAAAGUAUUUGCCGAAGCUUAUCAGUGGGGAGCAUAUUGGGGCAUUGGCGAUGAGUGAACCAAACUCUGGCUCUGAUGUUGUCAGUAUGAAGUGCAAAGCUGAGAAAGUAGAUGGCGGCUAUGUCAUUAACGGGAACAAGAUGUGGUGCACAAAUGGUCCGUCUGCUCAGACAUUGGUUGUUUACGCGAAAACAGAUAUAACUGCUGGAUCGAAAGGAAUAACUGCAUUCAUAAUUGAGAAGGGAAUGCCCGGGUUCAGUACUGCCCAGAAGUUGGACAAACUUGGCAUGCGAGGAAGUGACACAUGUGAGCUUGUCUUUGAGAACUGCUUUGUGCCUCAAGAGAAUGUUCUUGGUGAAGAAGGGAAAGGUGUUUAUGUCAUGAUGUCUGGUCUUGAUCUGGAAAGACUUGUAUUAGCUGGGGGCCCUAUUGGGCUCAUGCAGGCAUGCCUUGAUGUUGUUCUUCCUUAUGUUCGACAAAGGGAGCAAUUUGGCCGUCCGAUUGGUGAAUUUCAGUUCUUACAGGGGAAAAUGGCAGAUAUGUACACCUCCUUGCAAUCAUCAAGAUCAUUUGUAUACUCAGUUGCCAGGGACUGUGAUAAUGGCAAAGUUGACCGUAAGGAUUGUGCAGGAGUGAUCCUCUUUGCUGCUGAAAGGGCAACACAAGUUGCACUUGAGGCAAUCCAGUGUCUUGGUGGCAAUGGAUACAUAAAUGAGUACCCAACUGGCCGUCUCCUGAGAGAUGCAAAACUGUUUGAGAUUGGAGCUGGCACUAGUGAGAUCAGAAGAAUGAUAAUUGGUCGUGAACUGUUCAAAGAGGACUGA